AUUGAACGCUGGCGGCAUGCCUUACACAUGCAAGUCGAACGGCAGCACGGGGCAACCUGGUGGCGAGUGGCGAACGGGUGAGUAAUGCAUCGGAACGUACCUUUCAGUGGGGGAUAACGUAGCGAAAGUUACGCUAAUACCGCAUAUUCUGUGAGCAGGAAAGCAGGGGAUCGCAAGACCUUGCGCUGAUUGAGCGGCCGAUGUCAGAUUAGCGAGUUGGUGAGGUAAAGGCUCAUCAAGGCGACGAUCUGUAGCGGGUCUGAGAGGAUGAUCCGCCACACUGGAACUGAGACACGGUCCAGACUCCUACGGGAGGCAGCAGUGGGGAAUUUUGGACAAUGGGGGCAACCCUGAUCCAGCCAUGCCGCGUGAGGGAAGAAGGCCUUCGGGUUGUAAAGCUCUUUCGGCCGGGAAGAAAUCGCACGGGCUAAUACCCUGUGUGGAUGACGGUACCGGAAUAAGAAGCACCGGCUAACUACGUGCCAGCCGCCGCAGUAAAAC
rnacentral:rRNA from 1 species